AUUGAACGCUGGCGGCAGGCCUAACACAUGCACGUCGAGCGAGAGGCGGACGGGUGAGUAAUGUCUGGGAAAAUGCCUGAUGGAGGGGGAUAACUACGGGAAAAGGUAGCUAAUACCGCAUACAAUCAGAUAUGCACAGAUGGGAUUAGCUAGUAGGUGGGGUAACGGACCACCUAGGCGAAGAUCCCUAGCCGGUCUGGGAGGAUGACCAGCCACACUGGAACUGAUACACGGUCCAGACUCCUACGGGAGGCAGCAGUGGGGAAUAUUGCACAAUGGGCGCAAGCCUGAUGCAGCCAUGCCGCGUGUGUGAAGAAGGCCUUCGGGUUGUAAAGCACUUUCAGCGGGGAGGCGUUACCCGCAGAAGAAGCACCGGCUAACUCCGUGCCAGCAGCCGCGGUAAUAC
rnacentral:rRNA from 1 species